rnacentral:lncRNA from 1 species
UUAUUUUUGAGUAAUUUUCUUGUAUAGUUUUUUUUAUUUUCUGCAUUAUUUAUUUUCUUCUAUUUAUUUUCUUCUGGAAAUUGAAUGCUGCAUACUGAACAAUUAGGUAAAUGACCGAAAAACAACAAAUGAUGUCAGAACAUGUUGGAAAUUGAUGACAUCGCUUUAAAUGCUGGAUACUGAACACAAAAGAAGUCCGGAGUUCAAAUAAGUUUAAAAAACAUUGAAGUGGCCAUGUAACAGAUGAGUUCUCGUCCGAAACCCUGAUACUCGGAAAGAGUAUGUCCAGUUUGUACACGAAGUGCGUCCAGUUUUUGCCGUGACCCUCUCUACUCUUUCGCGCAUGCUAUGCGGGUGAUAUGAUGAUACCAUGCCAAGUUUCAACAUUUUCACGAUUCAUUUUGUAGUGAUUUUCAAUUUCACGGUCAUUUAGCUCUCUAAACAAUUAGGUAAAUGACCGAAAAACAACAAAUGAUGUCAGAACAUGUUGGAAAUUGAUGACGUUGCUUUAAAUGCUGCAUACUCACGGCUUAUAAACCGCUCAUACUGCCUCUCGCUUGGCGAAGAUCACAAGAUAGUUUGGUUAAAUUGCAUUACUUGUAAGUCCAGUUAACAUGGAUGCUUAUGAUGCAAGAGCAACAGCAAAAGUGAAAAUUUGGCACAAAUAGGUAGUUGUGUAACUAAAAUAGGUAGGAGGAGAGAUAGGUCUUAUGUCACAAAAAAGAAGUUGUAUCGAACCUUUUAUGUCGGAUCUAGAACAAACCAAUCGGUAUCGCCAUCAUACAGCCCAACCGUGGCUCGUGAUGCAUAUAUAUGCAUAUCAAAUGCAGGGUUGGACGUAUGAUGGCGAAUCCGAAUGAUUUGUAUGCAGUCGAUGAACUGGUAGAUGUAUGUAGUCGAUGAAUUGAAAGACUUAUGCAGGGAAGGCGAGAGGUGGGCUAUAUAUAGGGUCGUCUGGCUCACAAAGUGAUUGUGGUAGUUUCAAUCCAACGACUCACAUGAGCUAGGAAGAAACACACCCUUGAUCCAACGACUCGCAAGAGCUAGAAAGAAACACACGAUCCGUGUGAUUCUUCCUGAUUGGUGGGAUGCACAUUAGUACCCACUCUGGGCUUCGGUGAAAGUUGUAGAGGGGCUAGGGUUUCGCCAUAGAGGGGCUCCGGAGCAUCGGGAUGGCACGAAAAACUAGGAGUUGGCAUACCAUGUGUUUAAAAGUGCUCGUAGGGUGGUACAUGCCAAAUAUUCACUCACUCCUUGUGUAGGGUCUUCACCGGCAUCGAUUCCUCAGUCUGAGUCUAAGUACUUAUAGGCUGAAAGUACCAUAACCGACGAACAUGAGGGAAUCUUGUGUAGAGGUGGUUCAUGCCAUUGUUUUGGGACUUCCUAGGGACCAUCCUAACAAAACCAAGCAAAGAGUUGCACAUUAGUACCCACUCCGGACUCCGAAACCCUGAUACUCGGAAAGAGUUUGUCCAGUUUGUACAUGAUGUGCGUCCAGUUUUUGCCGUGACCCUCUCUACUCUUUCGCGCAUGCUAUGCGGGUGAUAUGAUGAUUCCAUGCCAAGUUUCAACAUUUUCAGGAUUCAUUUUGUAGUGAUUUUCAAUUUCACGGUCAUUUAGCUCUCUAAACAAUUAGGUAAAUGACCGAAAAACAACAAAUGAUGUCAGAACAUGUUGGAAAUUGAUGACGUCACUUUAAAUGCUGCAUACUGAACACAAAAGAAGUCCGGAGUUUAAAUAAGUUAUUAAAAAUAAAAAAGAGGUG